CUUUAGUCAAAGAAACAGUGGAGUCGCACAACGCAACACUACAUUAGCACUAGCGUAGCCGGUUUGGUUUUUGAUGAUGACGAUGUUGUUUUCCACUUUAUUUUGCUUCCCCACUGGCCGCAAAUUGAUGCGUGUCUUAAUUUGCAAAAUACAAGCUAGAGAGAUCUUAGAAGGGAGAAAGAAAGAUGCAGCUAUCCACACUCUCAUGAAGAGAUCAAAAGGAAUUAAUUGAAGAAAGGAUCAGCUAGCUGGGCAUGGAUGGAGGUGAUGGGGAAGUGCUAUAUUAUACGAAUUAGCACAUGACAAAUUAAGGUAUUGGCGUGCCUCAAUUUGAAUACAUGGCUAUUAUGACAAAUCCAGCCUUGUAGUUUGAUUGAGCCGCGUCAAUAUCUUAUUUUGCUCUUCUUUUCCAUCUCCUAUGCAUAUACCCAGGGAACGGUUCCCUCUCUUACUGCGAAUCUGCUAUGUGCCUCUCCACAAUUAGGAUAGAUAGAUAGGCAUAUAUGAGGAAUUGAAGAUUGCAUAUACCUCAAACAUCAAAUUAAGUUCAAACAUGUGUGUUCCUUUCCCUUUUUCUUAGCUGAGCGUGCCUGUUCUCGUGGUACUGUUGUUAGUAUCUGCAAACGGUUUUGCACUAUGCAUGAUAACGUGGAUCUUUGUAGAAAUGGGAUAUUGAUAUCCACGUUUGUGAGUAAGUUCAUGUCAAAAUUGUGAUUUGUGAAAUAACGCAGAAGCAAAUAUUAUAUAUAUGCUUCAAGAUUGACCGAAUCAAAGGUCUUUAACGCGCUCAACCAAGGCUUAUAUAUAUAUGAGAAUAAAGUGAAAUGACUAGCUAGACUUAUUUUACCUCAUUUAAGAUUUAAUUUUGAGGAAGAGAAAAGAGAGAAGUGUUAGAUAAAAUGAGUAAUGUAAAAAAGAAAGAUAGCUAGAAAAAAAAUGUGAUGUUAAAGUUUUUUUUUUU